UACAGAGGGCUCGAGCGUUAAUCGGAAUCACUGGGCUUAAAGCGUGCGUAGGCGGAUUUGAAGGCGCUUUGUGAAAUCCCUCGGCUCAACCGGGGAACUGCUUGGCGAACCACAAAUCUUGAGGCUGGUAGAGGUGGUCGGAACGAUAGGUGGAGCGGUGAAAUGCGUAGAUAUCUAUCGGAACACCGAAGGUGAAGACAGGCCACUGGGCCAGUCCUGACGCUGAGGCACGAAAGCGUGGGUAGCAAACGGG
rnacentral:rRNA from 1 species